UACGUAGGGGGCAAGCGUUGUCCGGAUUUAUUGGGCGUAAAGAGCGUGUAGGCGGCCAUGUAGGUCCGUUGUGAAAACUCGAGGCUCAACCUCGAGACGCCGAUGGAAACCAUGUGGCUAGAGUCCGGAAGAGGAGAGUGGAAUUCCUGGUGUAGCGGUGAAAUGCGCAGAUAUCAGGAAGAACACCCGUGGCUAAGGCGGCUCUCUAGUACGGUACUGACGCUGAGGCACGAAAGCUAGGGGAGCAAACAGG
rnacentral:rRNA from 1 species